CAGCACACGGUAAUACAGAGGGUGCGAGCGUUAAUCGGAUUUACUGGGCGUAAAGCGUGCGUAGGCGGCUUUUUAAGUCGGAUGUGAAAUCCCUGAGCUUAACUUAGGAAUUGCAUUCGAUACUGGGAAGCUAGAGUAUGGGAGAGGAUGGUAGAAUUCCAGGUGUAGCGGUGAAAUGCGUAGAGAUCUGGAGGAAUACCGAUGGCGAAGGCAGCCAUCUGGCCUAAUACUGACGCUGAGGUACGAAAGCAUGGGGAGCAAACAGGAUUAGAUACCCCGGUAGUCCCUGUCUCUUAUACAC
rnacentral:rRNA from 1 species